UGCUAAUACAUGCAAGUCGAGCGGACAGAUGGGAGCUUGCUCCCUGAUGUUAGCGGCGGACGGGUGAGUAACACGUGGGUAACCUGCCUGUAAGACUGGGAUAACUCCGGGAAACCGGGGCUAAUACCGGAUGCUUGUUUGAACCGCAUGGUUCAAACAUAAAAGGUGGCUUCGGCUACCACUUACAGAUGGACCCGCGGCGCAUUAGCUAGUUGGUGAGGUAAUGGCUCACCAAGGCGACGAUGCGUAGCCGACCUGAGAGGGUGAUCGGCCACACUGGGACUGAGACACGGCCCAGACUCCUACGGGAGGCAGCAGUAGGGAAUCUUCCGCAAUGGACGAAAGUCUGACGGAGCAACGCCGCGUGAGUGAUGAAGGUUUUCGGAUCGUAAAGCUCUGUUGUUAGGGAAGAACAAGUACCGUUCGAAUAGGGCGGUACCUUGACGGUACCUAACCAGAAAGCCACGGCUAACUACGUGCCAGCAGCCGCGGUAAUACGUAGGUGGCAAGCGUUGUCCGGAAUUAUUGGGCGUAAAGGGCUCGCAGGCGGUUUCUUAAGUCUGAUGUGAAAGCCCCCGGCUCAACCGGGGAGGGUCAUUGGAAACUGGGGAACUUGAGUGCAGAAGAGGAGAGUGGAAUUCCACGUGUAGCGGUGAAAUGCGUAGAGAUGU
rnacentral:rRNA from 1 species